rnacentral:lncRNA from 1 species
AUUUAUUACAUUUCCUCUUUGAUCUUCAUGCCAAUCAAGAUAAGCUCAAUAAAGAUAGAAUUUUAAUGAACACAAGGAACUAUGUGUAGCUGCAACAGCCAGUUUUACUAGUUUUAUGGGUGUGUGCAUUUAUUUUUACUUGUGUAACAUCCAGAUUGUAAGGCUGAGUGUGUGAAGCACUUCAUAUUCAUUUGGUUUUUGUAGAGAAUGAGAUAGCUCUAUCAUUUUCAGUUACCAUAGGUACCUCAUUUUAUCUGUUUUGUAUUUUUUUUCUUGUACAGAAUUAAAGAAGACUGUUAAGAAAAGCAAAUAAUAAAUGAAAUUAUGACAAAGAUAAAUAACAAAGAGGGAAUUGCUGGAAGACUUCAUUGUUAGAGACUGCUAACAGCGAAAUGUCUACCACCACUGAAGGGUAUGGAUGGAUUUUUCCAAGUGACAUUGAAUUACCCUACCACUGAAGUUACUUGUAUGUGCUUGACUGUGACACAAUAUGGAGAGAAUACUGGACCACAAAGCAUUUCCCAGUGGGUACACCUACAGUAGCUACUCUUGAAGACAAAGAAAGGAAAAAAUGAGGAAUGCUUGCACCAGAAGAUAUUUAUGCUCUUCUUUACCUGAGAUUUACUACAGUUUAACAAUUGGUAACAAAUUGGAAUCAGCACAAUAUGUCUACACAACCAUAAAUGAAACAUCAGUGAUGUAUGAAGAAUGCCUUUAGAUUCAUCGUCAUAAUUAUUUUCUUUAUAUUAAAAAUGUAAUGAUAAACAAGGCCAGAGGCAUUUGUAAUUCAAAUGGUUUAAACAGAGGUAAUGAAAUAACAGUUCAAUGGGAAGGAACCUACACCAAUAAUCAAGUCCAACUGCCUGACUACUUCAAGGAGAACCAAAAGUAAAAGCAUAUUAUUGUGGGCAUUAUCCAUAUGCCUCUUGCACUCUGACUGACAAGGGACAUCAACAACCUCCCUAGAAAGCCUGUUCCAGUGGUUGACCCUCUUAUGGUAAAUGAUUUUUUCCUAUUGUCCAAUCUGAACUUCUCCUGAUGCAGCUUUGUGCCAUUCCUUCACAUCCUGUCACCAGUUCCCACUGAGAAGAGAACAGCACCUCCCUCUCUGCUACCUCUCCAGGAAGUUGUGUAGGGCGGAGAAUGAGGAAAUGAGGAAAGUAAAGGCAAGCUGUCUAGAGAUCCCCUAAAAUCACCUAUGU